AAUCAUAUCCUUGAAAAUACAAAGAUAAAAUGCAAACUGCAGCGGAAGAAUUUAAAAUUCAUGCCAAACCAUCUAAUUCCUCCAUUCAAGUCCUUCUCGUUGCUCAUCACGACUCAAUCCUGAUUUACAAAAACUGAAUCACAAUAAACUAUAAUGAAUACGAAACUCAGUAAGUAAAUCAGCUUUGCAUAUACCAAAAUACAUACAUACAUAUAUAUAGUGCACAUGAAUGACGUACCGUGGUAUUCGAAAACAUUGUAAAACAAAUCAUCGAAAUCUCAUUCUGUCUUUCUCAAACUUUCACUUUCUCUUUCAAACCACUUACUUGAGCUACCUUCAUUCGAUUACCGCUUAGUAAGACACUCUCUUAACUUUCAUAACUUUCAUAGUUCUCACCAAUGUGUCCUUCGCCCACUUAUCUCAUAACUAUAUAAACAUCUAGAGUAUCCUCCACUAAGCCAGUAACGAAUUCAAGCAUCCAAGCUAAAACUGUAAAACAAUCUUUCUUUCGUCAAAUUCCACUUGCUAAAAUCAACUUUCUCAUUUUGCAGAAAUCAUAAUGCAUUUUCAUGCUCAUGCCAAUGAAAUAUUCACACAUACGUAUGCCCAUGUCCAUAAAUACACAUAACAACAUAUCAUACCAACACAUCACAUAAACACAUGGGCAAAACAUAUAAAUCAAUAUCCGGACAUAUACAAAAAUAAACUUUUCAAACAUGUCAAACAUAUAUAUUGUUUAUUGUGAUUCGUUUGGAAAUAUAGUUUACUUACCUCAUGGCAUCCUCGAAUAACAAAUGCACAUCGAUAUCAUCGGCCUAUAAAUAAAUAAAAAUACUCUCAUGAGAAUAAAAUUAAACAAUAAUCAUAAACUCCAAUAUUCUUAAAUUCCUCAAUAUAAUCACAUUCCAUACUAACCUCAAAUAAUUUUAAUUUAAAUAAUAAAUCAUCAAAAUACUCACAAUUCUUGAAAUUACGAAAUUACCCUCAAAUAUCAAAAUUACCAAAAUACCCUUGAAUUCAAUAUUACUAAAAUACCCUCAUAUCAAAAUUACCAAAUUAACCUCAAAAUCAUAAAUUACCAACUUUAUCCUCAAUUUCAGCAAUUAUUAAAACACCCACAAAAUCUGAAAUUACAAAAUUGCCCUUGGACUGUGAAAUUACCGAAAUACCCUUGCCGGUGGACGGUCACCGGAAUUCAACCGACGGCGACGGGAUGGCUCCGGAUCGAGCUCCCAAAAUCGUGAAUCCUCCAACGGCCGAUCAACGGCAAAACGACGUCCCCGGCGUCAGUGGUUAGUCGGAAAUGGCAGAGGGAAAGGUAAGAAACAAAACUCAAGUGAUGGCUUCACCGGAAACCGGCGAAAUCACGGCGAAUCGAGCCGGCGAUUCCGCGGUACUUCAAAGCUUCGAUCGGUGGCUUUCCGAUCGAUUUCCGGCGGCAAGGACGGCAUGGAUACGUUGCUCGUCUCUCAAGCUUCAAAUCGGUACCAACCUUGACCGGAACGGUGGCCGGAAAUGGAAUAACCGGCCGGGUCGCGCUCGCGGGUCGGGUUGGAUCCGGUUCUGUUUCUCCUCUCUCUCUCUUCUCUUCUCUCUUUCCUUUCUCUCUUUCUGUCAAUUUAUAUGGGUGGUCAACAGAGUCAAAACCGGGUGUGGGGUAUUACAGUAUUGUAAUAGAACCUAGAACUUCUAUGUAUUUUAGAAUGAAAAUUCUGUACAAUAGAAAAUAUUAAAACGAAAAUUAAAGUUGAUAUGAGAAAAUUAAAGAAGCUUGGAACUGCAAUCUAGCUCGACCUACUAUAUAUAUAUAUAUAUGUUAUUAAUUAAUUGAUCAGGUAAGAUAGAGAGAGACUCUCGGACUCUUUACAAGGAGCAAAAAUGGUAUGAAACUCUGUUUUGAUUAAAAUUCAAUGACUUUCUUCGUAUUAAUUAAUUAUUUUGGUGAAAUUGAUUCACGGUUUCAAAUGAGGACAUGCCGCGGAUGCGUGCGUGCCGUAUGAC
rnacentral:lncRNA from 1 species